GACGAACGCUGGCGGCGUGCUUAACACAUGCAAGUCGAACGGAAAGGCCUCUUUCGGGGGGUACUCGAGUGGCGAACGGGUGAGUAACACGUGAGUAACCUGCCCUUGACUUUGGGAUAACUUCAGGAAACUGGUGCUAAUACCGGAUAGGAGCUCCUGCUGCAUGGUGGGGGUUGGAAAGGUUCGGCGGUUGGGGAUGGACUCGCGGCUUAUCAGCUUGUUGGUGGGGUAGUGGCUUACCAAGGCUUUGACGGGUAGCCGGCCUGAGAGGGUGACCGGCCACAUUGGGACUGAGAUACGGCCCAGACUCCUACGGGAGGCAGCAGUGGGGAAUAUUGCACAAUGGGUGGAAGCCUGAUGCAGCAACGCCGUGUGCGGGAUGACGGCCUUCGGGUUGUAAACCGCUUUCGCUCAUGACGAAGCUUUGUGUGACGGUAGUGGGUAAAGAAGCACCGGCUAACUACGUG
rnacentral:rRNA from 1 species